rnacentral:ribozyme from 1 species
GAGGUUUGGAAAAGGAAAAAGGAAAAAGGAUGCGAUCAAGAAGAAGGCACAAAGUUUUGCGCUUGAUAUAUGUCAGAGCGUUGAGCGUUUUUUUUUUUUUUUUUUUUUUGUUGUUGCU